GUUGUUGGGUUGCCCGAGUAGCAGCGGGCUCGUGGAAUCUGCUGUGAAUCUGCCGGGACCACCCGGUAAGCCUAAAUACUCAGUGUGACCGAUAGUGUAUUAGUACCGUGAGGGAAUGGUGAAAAGUACCCCGGGAGGGGAGUGAAAUAGUUCCUGAAACCAUGUGCUUACAAUCCGUCAGAGCACUUUUUAUUGUGUGAUGGCGUGCCUUUUGAAGAAUGAGCCUGCGAGUCAGCGGCAUGUCGCGAGGUUAACCCGUGUGGGGUAGCCGUAGGGAAACCGAAUCCUAAUGGGGUGUUUGAGUGGCGUGUCCUGGACCCGAAGCGGGG
rnacentral:rRNA from 1 species